rnacentral:piRNA from 1 species
UAUCGACAAACUCUGAUCGAU